rnacentral:lncRNA from 1 species
AAGACAUGCAAAGAAUAGGAGAAAUUAUCCAUCUAAAUCACCCAUCAUCACCACGAUACAUAACAUAUACACAAGGAAGAGGAGGAGGAGACGCAAAGGAAUUAUUGAAUCAAUAGGACCAAAGAUCCCACUAAAAGGAAUUCUUGAAUCAAUAGGUCUGAAAGAUUCUCCCUCCUCUUCCCUAUCUAACAAUGACUGCAGACUGGUUGCCUGCCGAAGAGCAGACCUAUUGAUUCACAAGAACCACAGAAGGCCAUUCAAGAUUGCCUCGCUGUUUGGAAGAAACCCUAGUUUGCCAUGAAUUCUUCAGGAGCGACACCAACCAUACUAAAGAAAUUAAAAAAACCCUAGAAAACAAAAUCUUAGAAAAACCCAGAAAUUAGAAAAGCAGGGAAGAGGAAGAGGAGGCUCAGAUUAACCAAUUUCUGCAAUUGAAUCGAAAUGGCUGCAGAUGGUUGCCUUCGCAAAAACAACAGAAGGCCAUCCAAGAUUAUCUUGCCGUUAGCCAUGAAUUCUUUAGGGCCAACACCAAGCAUACCUAAGAAAUUAAAAAAAUUCUAAAAAAACAAAAUCUCGGAAAAAACCAGGAAAUUAGAAAAGCAGGGAAGAGGAAAAGGAAGAGGCUCAGAUUAACCAAUUUCUGCAAUUAAAUCGAAAUGGCUGCAAACGGUUGCCUUCGCAAGAGCAACAGAAGUCCAUCCAAGAUUACCUCACCAUUUGCCAAAUUCUUCAGGGGCAACACCAAGCAUGCUAAAGAAAUUAAAGAAAUACUAGAAAAAAAAAUCUUGGAAAAAAU